UUACUUGUUCCCUCUCUCACAUCCACAAUUGCACCCUCUUCACAUUACUCCCUCUUUCUUUUGCUUUGUUACACAGUGGACCAUACAGAACCCAUCCUUGACCUCAAAAGUAAAUGAUGAUGAUGGAGAGAAGAAGGAAAGAAGAGAAUGUCUCUGUAUGAGAGGCAGUGGGAAAUGCAGUGUACCCCUUGAAUGAGGUCUUUUGAGAGGGUACUGAAGGACUAUCUGGGUUACCCAGAAUUUCCUUUGGUGAACUCCUGCUUUCUCCAGAUCAUGGGUCUUGUUCUAAAUCCAUGUUUCACUGGGUAGAAGCUUUGCUUGAAUACUCACAUGUAAGACCCAAGGAUUAAAUCCAGAGGUAUAUAAGCAGGUUAGUGAGCAGCUCUGCCUCACGGUGGAAGUCCUUGCGGGCAUUGUCACUGGCAUCCUUCAGUGUCUAAGCGGAAAAAAUGAAAAUGUAAAGGACAGAUGUCCACAGAAGAAAUACACACAGCCUGAAAAGCAUCCCAGGACAUCAGUCUGAGAAGCAGGACCUGAAAGAAACUUACAUUCAGAGACUGAGCCAUAUUCAAGCCUGGUAGAAUUGGAUACCUACAGUACUUCAGAAUGCUGAAAUUCCCAUGGGCUCCCUAUGGUGGUGAGAAGAGCUUUUGACCUCUCUGAGAAAAUGGGUUUUGAAAAUAAUAAAUGUAUA